CUUACAACGAAAAGUACCUUAGGGCUCUUUUAUACUGUAAUUGGUUAAAUAUAGAGUAAGAAAAUUUAAUAGUUUUACCUUUUGUAUCAGGGGGCUUCAAAAAUAGAGUUAAAUUGUUAAUCGAGUUUAUCAGAUCUUUUUUGUCCAAGGUAGUAGUAAAAUUUAAUCCUUACAGACAGUUCAGGGGUGAAAAAUGUACGUUGGUAGUGGUAUCUAAUUGUUUUAAUUAAUUGAGGGGAUUAGCUCUUAAUGAUCUAAAGGUUGCUUCAAUCAAGAAAGCUAGGCUUUAGAUUAGUCAAGUUUAUAAGUUGUUUUAAGUAAUCUUUAUAAAAAGUGUGUUAAAAUAGAGUCAAACAGGCAAUAAAAAUGAGUAAAAAUUUUUAAUAAUAAUGAAUUUAUUGAAUUAAGAAUAAAGCUAGAAAAUAACUCACAUAAGGUUAGAAAGUUUAACAAAAACAUUUCUAUGUGUUUAAAAUAAAGUAAGGCCUGCCCGGUGAAAAGUAAACGGCUGCGGUAUUUUGACUGUGCUAAGGUAGCAUAGUCAUUUGUUUCUUAAUUGGUAACUGGAAUGAAAGGUUAAACUAGCCUUUUUGGUUUGUAAAGCUAAAGAGGAAAUUUAAGUCAAGGUAAUAAUUCUUUGAUAUUCUAGGGGACGAUAAGACCCUAGAAGCUUGACAAAUAGUAUAUUUAUUAGUGUUGAAGUUUGGUUUGGUUUACUGGGGCGGUAUUAGUGUACAAACUAUUGAUGUUUUGAGAGAUCCUUUUAAUAAAGAUAUAACGUAAAAGUUACUCUAGGGUUAACAGUGCAAUAUAUUUGGAGAGAUCUUAUCGAUAUAUGUGAUUGCACCCUCGAUGUU
rnacentral:rRNA from 1 species